rnacentral:rRNA from 1 species
AUACGGAGGGGGCUAGCGUUGUUCGGAUUUACUGGGCGUAAAGCGCGCGUAGGCGGUAUAUCAAGUUAGGCGUGAAAGCCCCGGGCUCAACCCGGGAACUGCGCUUAUUACUGAUAAACUAGAGUCCGGGAGAGGGUGGCGGAAUUCCCAGUGUAGAGGUGAAAUUCGUAGAUAUUGGGAAGAACACCAGUUGCGAAGGCGGCCACCUGGACCGGUACUGACGCUGAGGUGCGAAAGCGUGGGGAGCAAACAGGAUUAGAUACCCUAGUAGUCC